CGAGGAUUUGAUUUGCUAAAUCGAAGUUGAAGUUGAAAAAAGUGUUAUUCAACAUGUCCGUGUAUUGUAUUGUACAGUGUGGAGCCAGAAAGGACAGAAAUCAACCGUAUUUGUCACUUCAUAGGCCAUCUUUCAAUCCAAAAUUGUCGACUGGAUUUACUGAAACAGGUGAUAUUGGAAAACUAAUCCACAGCUGCAACGUCGUCUGUGCUGCCAUUGCCCGUACGUCUGUCUCAUAAGUCAGUACAUGAAAAGUCUGUUCAAGAAGACGCGAUGAAAAAAUUAAAAGAUAGCCAAUUUGAAGAAUAUUAUGGAAGAUCUGCAGAAUAAAAAUCAAAUAAUAAAGGGCAAAGUGUAUUGAUGGAAGAAUUGGCAGGACCGCAAGACUUUUUGAAA